GGCAGGUGAUGCCUCUCCCCACUCAGUGGUUAAGAGCACCUGUCCAUGAUUUGCAGGAGGUCCCAGGUUCAAUCCCUGGUGUGGUCAUGCUA